UGUACAUUUUAGAAAAUUCCCUAAAAUUGAACUUUAGUUGAGUUGAAGGAAGCCAUAAAUAAAGCUGGUAAUGACAAAGAUUGUAGGCUAUUAAUUUUAAAUGGAUUUGGGCAAACAUUUUGCUUAGGGCUAGACGUAAGACCUCUUGUGGAAGAUCAUAAAAAUGAAGUUGUUGGUGAUAUUGCCAAUUCUGUCAAGGAUUUGAUUAGUACAUUGGCAGACUUCCAAAAGCCUUUAUUUGCCAUUGUGAAUGGUGCUGCAUAUGGCCUUGGAUUAACGAUUU